GUCUGUUUGUAGUUAUAAAGAGUUUAACCUGCCCACUGAUAAAAAUUUAAAGGCCGCAGUAUUCUGACUGUGCAAAGGUAGCAUAAUCGUUAGUUCCCUAAUUAGGAUCUUGUAUGAAUGGUUGGACAAAAGGAAAUCUGUCUUUAUGUUUAUUUUUGAAUUUAACUUUUAAGUGAAAAGGCUUAAAUAGAUUAAGGGGACGAUAAGACCCUAUAAAACUUGAUGUAUAACAUUAUAUAUAACUAAAUCUUAAUUUUAAAAGUUUAAUAUGUGUGUAUUUUAUGUUGGGGUGACAAAAGUAAAAAUAUAAUUAACUGCUUAAUAAUUAAAUCAAAUAUAAAUGAGUAUUAUUAGAUGAUCCUAUAUAAAGAUUAUAAGUUUAAGUUACUUUAGGGAUAACAGCGUUAUUUUUUUUAAGAGUUCUUAUCGAAAAAAAAGUUUGCGACCUCGAUGUUGAAUUAAAAUAUCUAUAUAAUUGUAGCAGUUAUAGUAGAAGGUCUGUUCGACCUUUAAAUUUUUACAUGAUUUGAGUUCAAACCGGCGUGAG
rnacentral:rRNA from 1 species